GGUUCUUGUUUUGUUCUGAUGUUCUUUAAAAACUUGUAAAAAGUGUGUUUCAUCUGCUGUUCUUGAGUUAUCAAAGCCGAGAACUGAAGCGCCGGGAGCUCUUUAGGAGCCGGUGUGAGCCAGCGCAUGUGCCUGAGGGGCUCAGCAGGGCUUUCAGGGGAGGGAUUUCCUUUUGUUCCCAUCUGACUUACAAAUCUCCAACGAUUAAAAGCAAACCCUGCCAGUUAAACCCCACGUCAUUUCCAGCUUGUCAUGGAAAUAAACUGGAAGGUGAGGAGAGAGUUUUAUGUAACAGGCUGAUUUCAUUUCCCCCAUUUAACAGGCGGCUUCAUGACUCAUGAUUCGUUUGGAUGAAAGGUCCCCUUGGCUUCCUGGCCACACACACCUUCCAAGCCCCGUCUUGUAAUGCUCGGAUAGCCUCUCUGGGCCUUUGACGCCUCUGGCAACUCAUUCUAGCCGGCACUAAGCUCUCCUCUGCUCUUGUGGACAUUUCAUACAAGUGGAAUCAUACAAUACGGGGCAUUGCGUGACUGGCUUCUUUCCCUCGGCACGAGCUCUUCCUCAGCCAGAGUACAAGGGAGAGCGCUCGAGCACGACCAGCGUGCUUCUAGGCUUCUCCUGCGGCCGGCCUCGGUCACCUGGGUCACUGAGCACCUGACCACCUGCUCUCCAGCCUUCGCAGACUUGGUGCGGUCUUCUCUCCUGUCUGUCUGGGGACCCGAUCCUUCGCAUCCUUUAGUUGUCACUGAAGUUGGGUUCAGGACGGAGCAGAGGUCUCGCUGCUGCAGCCCCGGGCUCCAGGGUGCCUGCCUACCCCCACUCCGCCCCCCGCCCAGCCUCGGUUAGAGCUGCGACCCCCUUACCAUCUGGGUUACUCCUGCUGUACCGCUGACCAUACUCUGCUGCAACUGCUUGUGGACGAGCCCUUGAGAGCUCAAAGGCUCUACAUGUACCGACAGCUGGCCUGGAUGGGGUCUUUGCUGGUCUGAAGCCCCAGGCACAGUGAUGACUUAAGAGGUGUUCAGGAUGGUCAUGUUGCUUGAAUGCACACGUCAGUCCCG